CAGGGAUUGCCUCAGUAACGGCGAGUGAAGCGGCAACAGCUCAAAUUUUAAAGCUGGCGUCCUCGACGUCCGCGUUGUAAUUUGGAGAGGCAUCUUCGGUUUGGGCGCCAGCCUAUGUUCCUUGGAACAGGACGUCACAGAGGGUGAGAAUCCCGUGCUUGGCUGGCUGUCCCUCUCCAUGUGAAGUGUCUUCGACGAGUCGAGUUGUUUGGGAAUGCAGCUCAAAAUGGGUGGUAAAUUUCAUCUAAAGCUAAAUAUUGGCGGGAGACCGAUAGCGCACAAGUAGAGUGAUCGAAAGAUGAAAAGCACUUUGAAAAUAGAGUUAAAAAGUACGUGAAAUUGUUGAAAGGGAAGCGCUUGAGACCAGACUCGGCCGACGGCGAUCAGCGGCCCUUCUGGGCUGUGCACUCGUCAUCGGUUCGGGCCAGCAUCGGUCGAGACGGCGGGAUAAAGGUCCCAGGAAUGUGGCUCCUCUCGGGGAGUGUUAUAGCCUCGGACGCAAUGCCGCCCGCCUCGACCGAGGACCGCGCUCUUUAGCUAGGAUGCUGGCGUAAUGGUCUUCAGCGACCCGUCUUGAAACACGGACCAAGGAGUCUAACAUCUAUGCGAGUGUUUGGGUGUCAAACCCUUGCGCGUAAUGAAAGUGAACGGAGGUGGGAACCCCUCCUUUGGGGGGGGCGCACCAUCGACCGAUCCUGAUGUCUUCGGAUGGAUUUGAGUAGGAGCAUAGCUGUUGGGACCCGAAAGAUGGUGAACUAUGCCUGAAUAGGGUGAAGCCAGAGGAAACUCUGGUGGAGGCUCGCAGCGGUUCUGACGUGCAAAUCGAUCGUCAAAUUUGGGUAUAGGGGCGAAAGACUAAUCGAACC
rnacentral:rRNA from 1 species